GACAUGUAUAAGUUGUUUCAUGUACCUAACAAGGCAAACUUGAAGAGUGAAGGCUGCUCAAGCUAAUAAGAAUUAAGAUGAAAGCCUUUACUUAUGUUCUCAUCGUUCUCUUUAUUUUCUCCGUUGGCAUCGACAAUGAAAGGUUGUUGAAAGUAUCAGAGGCAAAAGAGUGUCAACAAACACAGAGUGAAGGAGGCUGUAUAGAAAACACAUGCAACAGUGUCUGCAAGAGAAUACAUGGAGGGCGAGCAUCUGGUCAUUGCAACGCAAUAGAAGAUUGUAUUUGUUAUUACCCAUGUUAAAUUUGUAGUACCCUUACUUUUACAACAUUGUCCCCUUUUCAAUAAAUAUUUAAAUAAUGGGUAAUUGGGUAAUGCAGGGAUGGAUCUACAUGUGGAGGUGUGGGCCCCAUUAAACCAAUAAAUAAAUAAAUAUAUGAAUUUACAUAAUGCUUUUAUUA